rnacentral:rRNA from 1 species
CAGCAGCCGCGGUAAAACGAAGGGUGCAAGCGUUAAUCGGAAUUACUGGGCGUAAAGCGUGCGUAGGCGGUGAGUUAAGUCUGCUGUGAAAUCCCCGGGCUCAACCUGGGAAUGGCAGUGGAUACUGGCUCGCUAGAGUGUGUCAGAGGAUGGUGGAAUUCCCGGUGUAGCGGUGAAAUGCGUAGAGAUCGGGAGGAACAUCAGUGGCGAAGGCGGCCAUCUGGGACAACACUGACGCUGAGGCACGAAAGCGUGGGGAGCAAACAGGUUUAGAUACCCCCGUAGUCCCUGUCUCUUAUAC